UACGUAGGGUGCAAGCGUUGUCCGGAAUUAUUGGGCGUAAAGAGCUCGUAGGCGGUCUGUCGCGUCUGCUGUGAAAACUCAGGGCUUAACCCUGAGCUUGCAGUGGGUACGGGCAGACUAGAGUGCGGUAGGGGAGACUGGAAUCCCUGGUGUAGCGGUGAAAUGCGCAGAUAUCAGGAGGAACACCGGUGGCGAAGGCGGUUCUCUGGGCAUUACCUGACGCUGAGGAGCGAAAGUGUGGGGAGCGAACAGG
rnacentral:rRNA from 1 species